AGAGUUUUGAUCAUGGCUCAGAUUGAACGCUGGCGGCAUGCCUAACACAUGCAAGUCGCACGCGAAAGGGGGCAACCCCGAGUAGAGUGGCGGACGGGUGAGAAACGCGUAGGAAUCUACCUGGUAGUGGGGGACAACCCGGCGAAAGCCGGGCUAAUACCGCAUACGAUCCACGGAUGAAAGCAGGGGACCGCAAGGCCUUGCGCUAUCAGAUGAGCCUGCGUCGGAUUAGCUAGUUGGUGAGGUAACGGCUCACCAAGGCAACGAUCCGUAGCUGGUUUGAGAGAACGACCAGCCACACUGGGACUGAGACACGGCCCAGACUCCUACGGGAGGCAGCAGUGGGGAAUAUUGGACAAUGGGGGCAACCCUGAUCCAGCAAUGCCGCGUGUGUGAAGAAGGCCUUCGGGUUGUAAAGCACUUUCGAUGGGGAAAAACAAAUCAGACCCAACACGUCUGGUCCUGAUGGUACCCAGAGAAGAAGCACCGGCUAACUCUGUGCCAGCAGCCGCGGUAAUACAGAGGGUGCAAGCGUUAAUCGGAAUUACUGGGCGUAAAGGGUGCGUAGGUGGUUUGUUAAGUCAAGUGUGAAAUCCCUGGGCUCAACCUGGGAACUGCAUUUGAUACUGGCAGACUCGAGUCUGGUAGAGGGUAGUGGAAUUCCGCAUGUAGCGGUGAAAUGCGUAGAGAUGCGGAGGAACACCAGUGGCGAAGGCGGCUACCUGGACCAAGACUGACACUGAGGCACGAAAGCGUGGGGAUCAAACAGGAUUAGAUACCCUGGUAGUCCACGCCCUAAACGAUGGGUACUAGACGUUGGGGGGUUUAUCUUCCUGGUGUCGCAGCUAACGCAUUAAGUACCCCGCCUGGGGAGCACGGUCGCAAGAUUAAAACUCAAAGGAAUUGACGGGGGCCCGCACAAGCGGUGGAGCAUGUGGGUUUAAUUCGAUGCAACGCGAAAAACCUUACCUGCCCUUGACAUCUAGAGAAUCCCGCAGAGAUGUGGGAGUGCCGCAAGGAGCUCUAAGACAGGUGCUGCAUGGCUGUCGUCAGCUCGUGUCG
rnacentral:rRNA from 1 species